UAUAGCUAUCCUGUUUGUUCCGUACCUAUUCUUUUCAAGGCUGCAGCAGUAGCACCAGCAGAUCUAUACCUAUUCUUUACACAGCUGCAGCAGUAGCACCUGCAGAUCUAUCUCAUAAUACACAUGUUUCAUCCAAUCCAACAAUCAAAUCAUUUACAAGUAUGCUAUAAAGUAUCUUGCACAAGGAGCAGUGUGACCUAAAAGAUCUCUAACAGUACAGGGGCCGUGGCCUGCAGAUUUCUAACAGUACAUGAGGUAACUCCUCUAUGGUUUUUUCUUGAUGCACAAUACUUAUUAUUGCAAAGUGACAUGUAUAUAUCUAUGAAUA
rnacentral:lncRNA from 1 species